UGGGGAAUAUUGCACAAUGGGCGCAAGCCUGAUGCAGCCAUGCCGCGUGUAUGAAGAAGGCCUUCGGGUUGUAAAGUACUUUCAGUCGGGAGGAAGGUGGUAAGGUUAAUAACCUUAUCAAUUGACGUUACCGACAGAAGAAGUACCGGCUAACUCCGUGCCAGCAGCCGCGGUAAUACGGAGGGUGCAAGCGUUAAUCGGAAUUACUGGGCGUAAAGCGCACGCAGGCGGUUGAUUGAGUCAGAUGUGAAAUCCCCGGGCUUAACCCGGGAAUUGCAUCUGAUACUGGUCAGCUAGAGUCUUGUAGAGGGGGGUAGAAUUCCAUGUGUAGCGGUGAAAUGCGUAGAGAUGUGGAGGAAUACCGGUGGCGAAGGCGGCCCCCUGGACAAAGACUGACGCUCAGGUGCGAAAGCGUGGGGAGCAAACAGG
rnacentral:rRNA from 1 species